GAUCCUGGCUCAGAUUGAACGCUGGCGGCAUGCCUUACACAUGCAAGUCGAACGGUAACAGGUCUUCGGACGCUGACGAGUGGCGAACGGGUGAGUAAUACAUCGGAACGUGCCCAGUCGUGGGGGGAUAACUACUCGGAAAGAGUAGCUAAUACCGCAUACGAUCUUAGGAUGAAAGCGGGGGGACCUUCGGGCCUCGCGCGAUGGAGCGGCCGAUGGCAGAUUAGGUAGUUGGUGGGAUAAAAGCUU
rnacentral:rRNA from 1 species